rnacentral:rRNA from 1 species
GAGUGGCGGACGGGUGAGUAACGCGUGGGUAACCUGCCUCAUACAGGGGGAUAACAGUUGGAAACGACUGUUAAUACCGCAUAAGCGCACAGAACCGCAUGGUUCCGUGUGAAAAACUCCGGUGGUAUGAGAUGGACCCGCGUUGGAUUAGCCAGUUGGCGGGGUAACGGCCCACCAAAGCGACGAUCCAUAGCCGACCUGAGAGGGUGACCGGCCACAUUGGGACUGAGACACGGCCCAAACUCCUACGGGAGGCAGCAGUGGGGAAUAUUGCACAAUGGGCGAAAGCCUGAUGCAGCGACGCCGCGUGAGCGAUGAAGUAUUUCGGUAUGUAAAGCUCUAUCAGCAGGGAAGAUAAUGACGGUACCUGACUAAGAAGCACCGGCUAAAUACGUGCCAGCAGCCGCGGUAAUACGUAUGGUGCAAGCGUUAUCCGGAUUUACUGGGUGUAAAGGGAGCGCAGGCGGUUCUGCAAGUCUGAUGUGAAAGCCCGGGGCUCAACCCCGGAACUGCAUUGAAAACUGUGGGACUAGAGUGUCGGAGGGGUAAGCGGAAUUCCUAGUGUAGCGGUGAAAUGCGUAGAUAUUAGGAGGAACCCCGGUGGCGAAGGCGGCUUACUGGACGAUGACUGACGCUGAGGCACGAAAGCGUGGGGAUAGAACAGGAUUAGAUACCCUGGUAUUCCACGCCGUAAACGAUGAUGGCUAACCGCCGGCGAUAGACAGUCGGUGGCCAAGCGAAAGCGAUAAGCCAUCCACCUGGGGAGUACGUCGGCAACGAUGAAACUCAAAGGAAUUGACGGGGGCCCGCACAAGCGGAGGAACAUGUGGUUUAAUUCGAUGAUACGCGAGGAACCUUACCCGGGCUCGAACGGCUGGUGAACGACACAGAGAUGUGAAGGUCCUUCGGGACGCCAGUCGAGGUGCUGCAUGGUUGUCGUCAGCUCGUGCCGUGAGGUGUCGGCUCAAGUGCCAUAACGAGCGCAACCCUUGCCACUAGUUACCAUCAGGUGAAGCUGGGGACUCUAGUGGGACUGCCACCGCAAGGUGUGAGGAGGGGGGGGAUGACGUCAAAUCAGCACGGCCCUUACGUCCGGGGCGACACACGUGUUACAAUGGCAACUACAGAGGGAUGCUACCUGGUGACAGGAUGCGGAUCUCGAAAAGUUGUCCCAGUUCGGACUGGAGUCUGCAACCCGACUCCACGAAGUUGGAUUCGCUAGUAAUCGCGCAUCAGCCAUGGCGCGGUGAAUACGUUCCCGGGCCUUGUACUCACCGCCCGUCA